UUACUUACCUGGCAGAGGAGAUACCAUUAUCAAGAAGGUGGUUCUCCC
rnacentral:snRNA from 1 species